AGAGAGAGACAUGCGCGCAUAUCAAUAAGCGGAGGAAAAGAAACUAACAAGGAUUCCCCUAGUAACGGCGAGUGAAGCGGGAAGAGCUCAAAUUUGAAAUCUUAAAGGGUUUCCCUUUACGAAUUGUAGUUUAAAGAAGUGUUUUCUGUUGAGGUUUUGGUAAAAGUUCUUUGGAAUAGGACAUCAUAGAGGGUGAGAAUCCCGUAUUUGACCUUUACUUUCAACUUUGUGAUACACUUUCAAAGAGUCGGAUUGUUUGGGAAUGCAGUCCAAAAUGGGUGGUAAAUUUCAUCUAAAGCUAAAUAUUGGCGAGAGACCGAUAGCGAACAAGUACCGUGAGGGAAAGAUGAAAAGAACUUUGAAAAGAGAGUUAAACAGUACGUGAAAUUGUCAAAAGGGAAGCGUUUGACACCAGUGUUGUUUUUCUGAAAAUCAAUUAAAGAACUGUUUAUGCUAAGUUGUUUAGACUUUAUCAGCUAACUGUUUAGUUUUGAGCUUUUCUUUAAUGCACUUUUCAGUUAACAAGUCAACAUCAAUUUCUUUUGCUGUAAAAAAGCUUGAGGAAGGUGGCUUGAGAUUCGUCUUAAGUGUUUAUAGCCUCUUGCCUAUGCAGUCGGAGAGAUUGAGGUCUGCAGCGUAGAUCCUUCAGGGCUAAAUGCAUUUGUGCUAAGUUAUAGCAUUUUAUAGACAACUUGUUGACUAUGAUUUGUCUUGUAGCUUACUCGCUUAUGUUAUUUUACCUACGCUUAGGAUGUUGACGCAUGAGAUAUACGC
rnacentral:rRNA from 1 species